UGUGUAUCAGUACAUGGCAUAUCAAUAAGCGGAGGAAAAGAAACUAACUAGGAUUCCCUCAGUAACGGCGAGUGAAGCGGGAAGAGCUCAAAUUUGAAAUCUUCAAGGUUCUACCUUGACGAAUUGUAGUUUAAAGAAGUGUUUUCUGUUAGUGGAGUUGGCUAAAAGUUCUUUGGAAUAGGACAUCAUAGAGGGUGAGAAUCCCGUAUUUGGUCAUUCUUCUAACUUUGUGAUACACUUUCAAAGAGUCGGAUUGUUUGGGAAUGCAGUCCAAAAUGGGUGGUAAAUUUCAUCUAAAGCUAAAUAUUGGCGAGAGACCGAUAGCGAACAAGUACCGUGAGGGAAAGAUGAAAAGAACUUUGAAAAGAGAGUUAAACAGUACGUGAAAUUGUCAAAAGGGAAGCGUUUGACACCAGUGUUGUUUUCUCGAAAAUCAAUUAAAAAUGACCGGAUUUUGUGUUGUAUUGACUUUAUCAGCUUUCUGCACUUUUUUCUUGUCUUUUUUAAUGCACUUUUCGUUUAACAAGUCAACAUCAAUUUCUUUUGUUGUAAAAGGGUCAUUGGAAGGUGGCUUUCAUUUCGGAUGAAAGUGUUUAUAGCCUUUGACUUCUGCAAUCGGAGAGAUUGAGGUCUGCAGCGUAGAUCCUUCGGGGUUAGAUACAUUUGUGCUAAGUUAUAGCUUUUUCAUAGACAACAUGUUGACUAUGAUUAGUCAUGUAGCUUACUCGCUUAGUGCUAUUUUACCUACGCUUAGGAUGUUGACAGCAGUAUAGACUGU
rnacentral:rRNA from 1 species